rnacentral:lncRNA from 1 species
AUUUCCAUCCAGAGAAGAACUUAUGAACGGUAUGUGCGCGACCCAUUCAUUCUUUCGUUUGAUCCUUCCUUAGAGCAACUCUAGCAGACCCCGCAUCCUCCCGGCUUGCAAAACAUGUUUGCACUUCGCGCAAAAACGCCUUUGCGGGCCGACGCUGACGGCCAUAGUUGCAGAGCCCACAUAAUGGACCCGUAAAAAAGGAUAUUCUCGGAAUAUCGGAAUAUCCUUUUUUAUGGGUCGGCUUUGCGGCGUCUGAUCUGGCGCAGCUCCUUCCGGCCCGCAAAACUUAAAUUGCUCUAGCAUAAUGCAUUUCUUUGCUUUUGCAGCAACAUUAGAUACAAAAGACAUCACCAAAUCUUUGCUAGAAUAGCAAAACCAAAGGAAACAAGAACCACAAGUAUGCAUUUCAGAAGAUUUCCAACUUCCAUAACUGCUCCCACAAGUUGGACUAAUAUCUUCUCCAUGCAUUCAUUGUUGAUCUGCGGAUUCUUGAUUUUGCAUUCUUCUUUCUUCAUCUUUGGUUCGAAAGAAGUAGACGUUGCUUCCCCUCUAGUUGCACAUGCAGCCGCAUCGUUGCCUUCGAUUGUACUAAGGAGUGCACUAACAUCUAUUAAGUUUCUUUCUAUCAACGAAUCAAUGUAUGGCCUUCCCAAAACCAAAAUGAGCAUCCAUCGUCCUACACAAAAGAAUGAUCAAGCUCGAAGUGAGCUACCGCAAUUGAACUAAAGAAUGAGCUAUGAAAUGAGCUACCGCAAGUGCACGUACCCCGUCAUUUUCGCAUUUGAAGAACACUCCGGGGUGCUUCGGCGUGCCCGAAGUGAGCUGCAGCACUUUCCGUGUGCAGUCGCCGCACUGUAUGAGCGGCAUCGGCAAGCCACAAAGACGUUGCGCGAGCGCCGAGCCCGGUGGACGGCCGGAUGAAUCCAUACCCGCAAACCUUCGGCGGCGGCGGGCGUACGAACCCGUACCUGCAUGCGGCGAUGCGCCCUUGCCUGGGCUGCGGGAGAGGCUCCCCGACCACUCCAUCGCUUGGGGCAGCAACCGGCGGCCGGAAAAAGCCAAAUCCGGCGGCCCGCGAUGAAGUGCCGCAGAUCUGCAAAUCCGGCGGCCCGUCGACGCAGGGGGGAAGGGAGGGGAGGCCUCGUGCGCGGGGCGGCCUUCCGGCGUGCUCCUGCCGGCUGGUUUCGCCGAAAUCUUGGGCGGCGGCCGGCGGCGGCGCGAGGGGGGAGAGGAGAGGUGGUUGGUGGGGGAAAGCGCGGGAUGAAAUGUCCCCCCACUAACCGCUUCCGCUUAUAUGCAGGGCACCGCAGCCGCGAGGGGGAAACCCGCGUUUUCCCGGGUUGGGGUCGGGAUUUUGCCGCGCCCCCUAAAAAUUUUUGCGGGCCGCGGCGGGAUGCGGGGUCUGAUCGGGCUGGUUUUUCCGCCCCGACCCGCAUUUUGGCGGUUAUUUUACGGGUCGGGGCGGGAUGCGGGGUCUGCUAGAGUUGCUCUUAUUCCCCUCAACUCGGAUUUUUUUUCUUUUGCACUUACGCACGGUUUUUAUGGAUCAAUAAAUUAAUGGCAAUGAGAAUAUCAUAUAUCCAUAAACUUCACAUUGUUGUUUUUAGCAGAAUAUGAUAUUUCUCUCUUUUUCAUAUGGACUGCAAUAUGGUCAAUGGUAGCUUGCUGAAUAGGUUAAGAGAGACCCAAGACAUAAUUUCAUUAUGAGAGUUUGACUUUCUGAAUAGGUUAAAAGCCUACUGCAAAAUAAAUUAGACGCGGAGUUUAUAAGGGUUACAUGUAUGCAAUUUACAUGGGUCUAUCUAAUGUUAGAGUUUCAUGCCUCUAAUUAUUUGUAUUUAUGUAUUCUAGCUACGGAUACCAGUAGCAUUAGUUCUUUUAAAGCACUGCAUUUAUAAACUUUACUAUUUGGAUAAUGUAUAUUAAAAUAUCAAGUAAUUAUAAAUGCCAUUUAUGAUCACAAACGAUCUUACCGGAUGAUUGUUUUCAUGGCCUUCAAAGAAGAGAUAUCCUAGAAGUUGAGUGCAGUUGGAGGGGCCUCAGUCCUUUUGAGCCAAGAAAAGUAGAUGGGGCAUGUCCAAGCUAUGAAUAGUAGAUGGGAAAGUGUUGAAAUAUUUUGUGUUUCCAUGGUUUCUAAAUGGUAGGAGGUAUGUGUAGUAACCUGUACGGUUUCAAGUGCCUAAUUUCAUGUGUAAAAGUUUGCUAGGGAAUUCUGAUUGUAGAAUCUUGGAAUAAGGGAACAAAAUCCUACAUGUGUCGUAUAUUUAAUUAAUGGAUAAUAACAACAGACAUGCUUUCAUGAGAUGAUUAAUCUUAAGCAUAGAAGGGCAUCCAUGUGCCACCUAUCAUUUGUAAUGCA